rnacentral:tRNA from 1 species
GCCUGGCUGGUUCAAUUGGUGGAGCAUGUGACUCUUGAUCUUGAAGUUAUGGGUUCAAAGCCCAUGUUGGGUA